CCUACGGGAGGCAGCAGUGGGGAAUAUUGCGCAAUGGGCGAAAGCCUGACGCAGCGACGCCGCGUGAGGGAUGAAGGUCUUCGGAUCGUAAACCUCUGUCAGCAGGGAAGAAAGGUCACUGUGCUAAUCAGUAGUGAAUUGACGGUACCUACAAAGGAAGCACCGGCUAACUCCGUGCCAGCAGCCGCGGUAAUACGGAGGGUGCAAGCGUUAAUCGGAAUUACUGGGCGUAAAGCGCUCGUAGGCGGUAGGUCAAGUCAAGUGUGAAAUCCCCGCGCUCAACGUGGGAACUGCCUUUGAAACUGGCAAACUAGAGUGUGUGAGAGGAGAGUGGAAUUCCAGGUGUAGUGGUGAAAUGCGGAGAUAUCUGGAGGAACAUCAGUGGCGAAGGCGACUAUCUGGCACAUAACUGACGCUGAGGAGCGAAAGCGUGGGUAGCAAACAGGAUUAGAUACCCCAGUAGUC
rnacentral:rRNA from 1 species